AAGCGAAAAUGCAGAGAUGGAUGUCUUCUGAAAGAAAAAGUGAUGGAAGAUGGCUAAGACUGAAAAGUUUCACUUUCAGUCAAGUUAAAGUGAAAUUUUAAGGCUGACUUUUUAAUUUCUUGAAUUAAUUGGCAAAUACCUAACUUACUCUUCAGCGUGACUGCAAGUUCAAAAUUAGAGAGCAGAUUCAUUCAAAUUCUUCACCAACUGUUGUAAAUUUUCCUGCUGGUGGAAAAGAAGGGGAAUUCAUUUUCUCAAUGGCUACAUUGCUAGCCAUCAUCUGGAGCUCUCUGUCUAUAAACAUGAAACCAGAAACGUUGGCGGGAGGAGACAUUAACCAAUCCGCUACCAGGCUGGAUUUGCACAUCUGGCCCCCUCAUCUCCUGGAUCCUGCAGGUGGCGCUGCUCCAGCUGCCUGAAUGUUCAUGGCCGGGUCUGUAUCCACCUCUUCUGAUUUUUGAGAAAUUCAAUAGCCAUAAGUUA
rnacentral:lncRNA from 1 species